GGAAAGACAUUGAUGGGAAGAGUAGGUGCAUUUGCCUGGCAAAGCGAGUCGAUUAUGGUGUGAGUUCGACCCUGGCACAGCAGUUGAAGAACAUCCCGGAGUCUCCACCCGAACACGCGCCUCAUACUUGUGAGGUAGCUGUAGAGUAGGCCUGGACGCCUUAUCAGCGUUAAAUGAUAUCCGAGUGUAUGUGCGCAUUUGCACAUUGAAAUUGGGUGGUACCGCGAAAUACAGCUUUCGUCCCUUUG
rnacentral:ncRNA from 1 species